rnacentral:rRNA from 1 species
UGGGGAAUAUUGCACAAUGGACGGAAGUCUGAUGCAGCAACGCCGCGUGCGGGAUGACGGCCUUCGGGUUGUAAACCGCUUUUUCUCAUGACGAAGUUUUUUGACGGUAGUGGGGGAAGAAGCACCGGCUAACUACGUGCCAGCAGCCGCGGUGAUACGUAGGGUGCGAGCGUUGUCCGGAAUUAUUGGGCGUAAAGAGCUUGUAGGCGGUUUGUCGCGUCGAUAGUGCAAAUUCAGUGCUUAACGCUGAGCCUGCUGUUGAUACGGGCAGACUAGAGGAAGGUAGGGGAGAAUGGAAUUCCCGGUGGAGCGGUGGAAUGCGCAGAUAUCGGGAGGAACACCGGUGGCGAAGGCGGUUCUCUGGGCCUUUCCUGACGCUGAGAAGCGAAAGCGUGGGGAGCGAACAGG